rnacentral:rRNA from 1 species
UACAGAGGGUGCGAGCGUUGUUCGGAAUUAUUGGGCGUAAAGGGCGCGUAGGCGGCGCGGUAUGUCACCUGUGAAAUCUCCUGGCUCAACUGGGAGCUUGCAGGCGAAACUGCCGUGCUGGAGUGUGGGAGAGGUGCGUGGAAUUCCCGGUGUAGCGGUGAAAUGCGUAGAUACCAUUUGGAACGCCAACGGAGAAAUCAGGUAGCUGGGGGUGUGCUGACGCUGAGACACGAAAGCCAGGGGAGCGAACGGG